AGUUGAAUUUUGUGGCUGCUUCA
rnacentral:miRNA from 12 species